AAACCUGAGAGUUUGAUCCUGGCUCAGAACGAACGCUGGCGGCAGGCUUAACACAUGCAAGUCGAACGCCCUCUUUUAGAGGGAGUGGCAGACGGGUGAGUAACGCGUGGGAACCUACCUAUUGGUAAGGAACAACACAGAGAAAUUUGUGCUAAUACCUUAUAAGCCCUGAGGGGGAAAGAUUUAUCGCCGAUAGAUGGGCCCGCGUUUGAUUAGCUAGUUGGUGAGGUAAUGGCUCACCAAGGCGACGAUCAAUAGCUGGUCUGAGAGGAUGAUCAGCCACACUGGGACUGAGACACGGCCCAGACUCCUACGGGAGGCAGCAGUGGGGAAUAUUGGACAAUGGGCGCAAGCCUGAUCCAGCCAUGCCGCGUGUGUGAUGAAGGCCUUAGGGUUGUAAAGCACUUUCAACGGUGAAGAUAAUGACGGUAACCGUAGAAGAAGCUCCGGCUAACUUCGUGCCAGCAGCCGCGGUAAUACGAAGGGAGCUAGCGUUGUUCGGAAUUACUGGGCGUAAAGCGCACGUAGGCGGAUUGAUUAGUUAGGGGUGAAAUCCCAGGGCUUAACCCUGGAACUGCCUCUAAUACUGUCAGUCUAGAGAUCGAGAGAGGUGAGUGGAAUUCCGAGUGUAGAGGUGAAAUUCGUAGAUAUUCGGAGGAACACCAGUGGCGAAGGCGGCUCACUGGCUCGAUACUGACGCUGAGG
rnacentral:rRNA from 1 species